CCUACGGGUGGCAGCAGUGAGGAAUAUUGGUCAAUGGACGAGGGUCUGAACCAGCCAAGUAGCGUGAAGGAUGACUGCCCUAUGGGUUGUAAACUUCUUUUAUAUGGGAAUAAAAUGUUCCACGUGUGGGAUUUUGUAUGUACCAUAUGAAUAAGGAUCGGCUAACUCCGUGCCAGCAGCCGCGGUAAUAAGGAGGAUCCGAGCGUUAUCCGGAUUUAUUGGGUUUAAAGGGAGCGUAGGUGGAUUGUUAAGUCAGUUGUGAAAGUUUGCGGCUCAACCGUAAAAUUGCAGUUGAAACUGGCAGUCUUGAGUACAGUAGAGGUGGGCGGAAUUCGUGGUGUAGCGGUGAAAUGCUUAGAUAUCACGAAGAACUCCGAUUGCGAAGGCAGUUCACUGGACUGCAACUGACACUGAGGCUCGAAAGUGUGGGUAUCAAACAGGAUUAGAUACCCGAGUAGUC
rnacentral:rRNA from 1 species